CCUACGGGAGGCAGCAGUGAGGAAUAUUGGUCAAUGGGCGAGAGCCUGAACCAGCCAAGUCGCGUGAGGGAGUACUGCCCUAUGGGUUGUAAACCUCUUUUGUCGGGGAGCAAAAGCCGGACGUGUCCGGCUGUGAGAGUACCCGAAGAAAAAGCAUCGGCAAACUCCGUGCCAGCAGCCGCUGUAAUAAGGAGGAUGCGAGCGUUUUCCGGAUUUAUUGGGUUUAAAGGGGGCGCAGGCGGAUUUUUAAGUCAGCGGUAAAAUCGUGGGGCUCAACCCCAUCCAGCCGUUGAAACUGGGGAUCUAGAGUGUGCGUGAGGUAUGCGGAAUGCGUGGUGUAGCGGUGAAAUGCAUAGAUGUCACGCAGAACCCCGAUUGCGAAGGCAGCAUACCGGUGCACAACUGACGCUCAGGCACGAAAGCGUGGGUAUCGAACAGGAUUAGAUACCCUAGUAGUC
rnacentral:rRNA from 1 species